rnacentral:rRNA from 1 species
CAGCAGCCACGGGAAUACGUAGGUGGCAAGCGUUGUCCGGAAUUAUUGGGCGUAAAGGGCUCGCAGGCGGUUUCUUAAGUCUGAUGUGAAAGCCCCCGGCUCAACCGGGGAGGGUCGUUGGAAACUGGGAAACUUGAGUGCAGAAGAGGAGAGUGGAAUUCCACGUGUAGCGGUGAAAUGCGUAGAGAUGUGGAGGAACACCAGUGGCGAAGGCGACUCUCUGGUCUGUAACUGACGCUGAGGAGCGAAAGCGUGGGGAGCGAACAGGAUUAGAUACCCCCGUAGUCCCUGUCUCUUAUAC